UACAGAGGGGGCAAGCGUUGUUCGGAAUUACUGGGCGUAAAGGGCGCGUAGGCGGCCUGCUAAGUCGAACGUGAAAUCCCUGGGCUCAACCCAGGAACUGCGUCCGAUACUGGUUGGCUUGAAUCCGGGAGAGGGAUGCGGAAUUCCAGGUGUAGCGGUGAAAUGCGUAGAUAUCUGGAGGAACACCGGUGGCGAAGGCGGCAUCCUGGACCAACACUGACGCUGAGGAGCGAAAGCCAGGGGAGCAAACGGG
rnacentral:rRNA from 1 species